GGGGGGAGUUCGGAUCCUGGGCUGUGUCCCGGGCGCCGUGUGCUCCUGGGCCUGCGCUGUUGGAUUCACACUCUUGGCGGGCAGCCCCUU
rnacentral:pre_miRNA from 1 species